GACGAACGCUGGCGGCGUGCUUAACACAUGCAAGUCGAACGAUGAAGCCGGAGCUUGCUCUGGUGAAUUAGUGGCGAACGGGUGAGUAACACGUGAGUAACCUGCCCUUGACUCUGGGAUAACUGCUAGAAAUGGUAGCUAAUACCGGAUACGACCCUCGGAGGCAUCUCCAGGGGGUGGAAAGAAUUUCGGUCAAGGAUGGACUCGCGGCCUAUCAGCUAGUUGGUGAGGUAACGGCUCACCAGGGCGACGACGGGUAGCCGGCCUGGGAGGGUGACCGGCCACACGGGGACUGAGACACGGCCCAGACUCCUACGGGAGGCAGCAGUGGGGAAUAUUGCACACUGGGCGCAAGCCUGAUGCAGCAACGCCGCGUGAGGGAUGACGGCCUUCGGGUUGUAAACCUCUUUUAGUAGGGAAGAAGCGAAAGUGACGGUACCUGCAGAAAAAGCACCGGCUAACUACGUGCCAGCCGCCGCAGUAA
rnacentral:rRNA from 1 species